AUAGCCUAUAUGAACUACAAAAAAAAAGAAUUAGAGUUUCAUAGCAAUUCAUCAUAAUGAAUACUUCAUCAGAAAAUGGCUGUAGCUUAUGGAAUGAAAUCAUUGAAUCAACCAGAACAAUAUUCAGAUCUCAUGUUCGCCAUUUUCAUGCUAUUUCAAUCCUAUUCCUCUUCCCUAUCAUUCUCUCUCUAAUUCUCUAUCCUUCUUUCGAACUUGCCAUAUUUCACCCCGAUUAUGAUUUCACUAGCUAUGCUCAACUUCAAUUUCCUCAACUUUUCGCAAUUUCAAGUUCCGAAACUAUUCUACUUGUACUGUAUGCUCUGUUUUUGACAUUCUUUUUCAUCUGUGGAGUAGGCACUACUACAUAUAGCGCGGUUCAAGUGAUCUAUGAUAGACCGAUCAACGUCUUUUCGUCUAUUAAAUCUAUGAGAAAUUCCUUCUUCCCUCUUCUCACCACCUUCAUUGUUUCGCAAACCAUUUUCAUUUCAAUCACUCUUCUUUUCGCCCUGAUUUUGGUGUUUGUAGUGCGAAUUCUUCAAUCUCUUGAACUAAUUGAGCUCGGAUCAAACUCGGAUCACUUGUUAUUUUUGGUUAUUUUCUGGUUGAUCGUGAUUGUACCGAUUCUGAUUUGGCUACAAGUAAACUGGUGUUUAGCUUAUGUGAUAACAGUAGUUGAAUCGAAAAAGGGUUACGAGACACUAAGGAGAAGUGCGAAGUUAGUAAAGGGGGAGAGAUGGGUAGCUUUGAAGAUUCUUAUGUAUUACGGGACUGUGAUUGUAUGGAUGGUGGUUUGGUGUGCCAUGAUUUUAGCCAGAGGCGAAACGUGGAGGAUACUGCUCACUGCGUGUACUUCGGUGAUGGGAUAUAUACUGAUGAAUCAGUAUCUUGUGGCGAAUGUGGUGCUGUAUAUGCACUGCAAGGAAUUAAACGAUGAGAAAUUGAUGCCGGAAACUGCUGCUGGAGAAUACGUUUCCCUGCCUGUUGAAGAAGAGGAGAAGAAUCAUGAUUUUGUGUAGUUAUUUGGUUUGUUUUUAUAUUAGAAAGAUUAAAGGUAUGGUACUUUGAUAUAGUAAUUGAAUAGAUGUAUGAGUCGAAU
rnacentral:misc_RNA from 1 species